CCAGAACCCCUUUGUGCUCUUUCUUCAGAAGUUCCACGUCUGGUUGACGUUAGCUGUGCACGUUGGAGGGGUGCAGCGUGCUCUUUCAUCGGGAGGACACAGCGCUCGCGGACCACGUCCAUGCAGCCUCAUGCUCCCUGGAGGCCCAGAGAGCCCUCAUUUGCUCGAAUUUCUGCACAAAGACGGCACUGGAGAAAUUCAAGACUCAUGCGUUUAUUGAUCCACUGAGAACAGCAGCAGUGAACCCGGGUCCCAGUCGGCGUGAGUAGCGGGGCUAGGCGGGGUUACGGCCCCUCCCACCCCAGACAGUGAGGCGCGGCCUGGACACCUGUCUGUGUGCGUUGGUGUCUGCCUUACCAGAGGACGGCUGGGCGCUCAGAGCUGCUUCCCGGCUGUCGCAACAUGCUGUUUGUUUUGGAGUCAGACGAGGCUGUGGCUCCACGGAUCCGCGGUUGGCAAACAGGGCGUUCAGGUGCCGGAGCGGUUCUGCUGCGAGACCGAAUGAAGACAGGGGAGGGCUAGGCUCUCAGGUCAGCGGCCAGGUGGACUUGGCAGCCCUGUGGAUGACUUUCUCUCCCGCAGUGGACUCGUACCCGUGUGUGAUUUGGAAGUGCCACACGUGGGCCACUGAGGUGGUGCUUCACUGUAUUCUGCAGGUCCCCGGGACAGGGGCGAAAGUCCUGGCUUAGCUUCUCACUCCUCAGGCCUCCUCCUUCUCCCCCAGGAAGGCCUCCCCGUGGUGGCCGUGGAGCCCCUGCUGGUGGACACAAGCCUUCCCAGACCCCGACCUUUGCUGACAGCCAGCCUCGUCAUGACGACGAAUGCUGUGGCCACCUUCCUGGCCGGCACAGCCUCCCUCCGCUCAUUUCUGGGACGUGUCUGCCCGACGCCCAAGUCUGAGUAGCCCGAGUUUGUCCCUUGGCUGCUCCUUGGAGCACAGGGUCCUGUGGCCAAGGGGCUUCUUUAUGCCGGGCUCAGGCUCUCUCCCAACAUUCUGUUUGACCAGGACAGCCUCGCGCUAGCUUCCGUUCAGUCACGUGUGGUGACUGAAACCACAAUUCAGGGUCAGCAUAACUUUGGCUGCCACGGGGAGUCCCCCCCGUGCUGCUGGAGCCCAGCCCUCCUCAGCCCUGACACCGACGUGUGGGGAGUCUGGGCCCCAGGCUCGGAGAUCCAGGCUGGGGCAGCUCUUCCAGCCUGCAGCUUCUCUGCCUGGACCUGGUGGCCGUUGUGGCUCUUCUGGCUGUGGGGAGUGCUCGAGGGACUCACCAGGGAGUUGGACACUCCCCUGGAACACCUCAUGUACUUCUGCCUCAGCCCACUGGCCAGAGAGGCCACCCGGGCUCCCUGAAUGUGGGGACUGGAAGCAGCUGGAAGGAGAGGAGCAGGGUGUGGGGGCCCACAGCUCAGCUGCCUGUGCCCCCAAGGGCUGGGGCCCUGCCUCCCCUGAGCCUGUCACGGGGCAGCCAGAGCUUAGCCAUGCCCCUGCUAUGGCCUCCUUCCCUGUGCCCGGGCCGCUGUCUGUCUUCACGUGAGGAGCAGCUCCCCAUCCCACCUCCCUGCACCUGCUGGACGGUCAGGCGGAUGGAUAAUGGAGCAUUCAGGUCCUCCAUGUCCAGAGCCUCCACUGGCUCCAGCCUCACUCCUCCCAGGGAGUGUCAUGGUAGGUGGAGACCUUCCCUGAGAAGGACUCACAGCCUCUGCCCACCUCUGAGAAAGUGACCUUGGGGACACCCCUCCCUCUGCUCACCUCUAAGAAAUUGACCUUGGGGACACCUCUCCCUCUGCCCACCUCUGAGAAUGUGACCUUGGGGACACCUCUACUUCCUUCUGGACCUUGGUUUACUCCUCUUUGGGAGAGGGGUCAGCUGGAUGUCCCUGAAGCCCUCCUGUCCCUGUCAUGCCAUAAGGCUGCCUGAUCUUCUGGGCAGUGGGAUCUUGUUUGUAGUGUGGUGAGUGACUGUCCACCAAGAUUGCCCCCCACCGCGGCCCAGGAGCCGGCUGUGCCCUACGCCAGGCAUCGCUGUCUCUGUGUGUGUCCCGUCUCCGUCUCUCUGUGCUAUCCCGUGAGCACGCC
rnacentral:lncRNA from 1 species